rnacentral:snRNA from 1 species
AUACUUACCCAGGGGAGAUACCACGAUCACACAAGAUUCAUCCAUUGCACUCCAGAUGUGACCCCUAUGAUUUCCCCCAAUGUGAGAAACUUGACUGCUCAAUUUGUGGUUGUAAUUUUUUAAUUAAAAAAU